rnacentral:rRNA from 1 species
UUCCYGGGUUCGUUSUWAAUUAGAGUUUUAUCUUGGGUUCAAGACGAAARCUGAUGGUGYGCUUAACACAUGCAAGUSGAGCGGAAAGGCCACUUCGGKGGUACUCGAGSGGYGAWCGGGUGAUAACWCGYGAGUAAUMUGCCCUUGGYUUUGGGAUAGCCACCGGAAACGGUGAUUAAUACCGGAUACGACCACUCCUGGCAUCAGGUGGKGGUGGAAAGUUUUUCGRCCAGGGAUGUGCUCKCGGCCUAUMAGCUUGAUGGUGAGGUAAUGGCUCMCCAUGGYUUMGACGGGUAGCCGGCCUGAGAGGGUGACCGGUCACACKGGGAMUGAGACACGGCCCAGACUCCUACGGGAGGCAGCAGUGGGGAAUAUURGACAAUGGGCGGAAGCCUGAUCCAGCAACGCCGSGUGAGGGAUGACGGCCUUCGGGUUGUAAACCUCUUUCAGCAGGGACGAAGSGCAAGUGWCGGUACCUGCAGAAGAAGCACCGGCCAAYUACGUGCCAGCAGCCGCGGUAAUACGUAGGGUGCGAGCGUUGUCCGGAAUUAUUGGGCGUAAAGGGCUCGUAGGCGGUUUGUCGCGUCGGGAGUGAAAACCAGGUGCUUAACACCUGGCUUGCUUUCGAUACGGGCARACUAGAGGUAUUCAGGGGAGAACGGAAUUCCUGGUGUAGCGSUGAAAUGCGCAGAUAUCAGGAGGAACACCGGUGGCGAAGGCSSUUCUCUGGGAAUAUCCUGACGC